AUGUGUCAAUGUGUUGUUUUUAAAAACAUUCUACUGGUGCCAUGGACACAACAAGAAAAAGAUUUUCCCACGAUCUGAAAUUCGUUGAAAACGGAGUGUGAAACAAAUCUCUUUGAAUUUGUGAAAACAAACGAGUGCUUCAGUUCGAAGGACUGUAUGAAACCAGCGACACAAGAAAGAAAAUUUGGACUGAUAUACCAAAUGCACUGAAACAAGGAGUGAAAGUGUUGAAACGAAAGUGGAAGAGCCUUUGCGUGACAGAUAUUCGCGUAAUAAAUGCGCUUUCACAAGCUCCAAGUAUAGGAUUGGCACCGACGGCGGCUUCAUCAUGACAGUAUUUUGAAGCAUUAAAGGUUUUGUAAACACUUAUCAGCAGAUGAAGUGGAACUGCCAGCAACUACGACCCUGAAUGAUCAGUUCUGGGAGUGAUCACAAAACUCCACGGAAAUGGAACAAACAGCAGCAC